AAGUUGCUUACUUUGGACUAUUUUCAUCUUGAGCUUUUUUGCCCUUAUGGAUAAGUGUGCUUUAACUAUUACUAUAAGUUAAAUAUGAAGACCCAAACCUAAAACUUGAUUCAAAUUGUAAUAAAAUAAUUUCUAAAAUAAUAUUUUUUAUCUACUACCCUAUAAAAACACGAGAGGGCGGAGAACCAAAACAUCUACACCGUUCAGAGCAUCGAAUCCUACGCUCUAGGUUGCUCCAAUGUUUAGCAGCAAAACAUGUUUUAGCCACGCUUAAUUAAUUACCCAUGCUGCCACUCGACCCACACCGUCAAAAAAAAUAUAGAAACAACGACCCACGCGCACACGUUCACACGUUCCUCACCCCACCCUUCUCGCUCCCGAUCCCAUCUCCCCACCGGCCUCAACUUGGCUAUGGCGACGGGGAGACGAGGAUCAACAACUCCUCUCCUUUGCCUUCUCCAUCACCGCCCGCCGCCCGCCACACGCCUCCCCGCGUCCCUCCUUCAUCCCCGUCCCCGAUUGGGCCGCCGCCGCCACCGCACCAUCAGGGGACACCGUCGGAGUGCAACCACAGUGCCGCCAGGGUACGCCGCGUGUACCGGCCGGCAAUGCAUGAGACGCCGCGGCUGCAGGGCAACGCCGGACGAGCAGCGCACGAAGCAGGUGCAGGUGGCGGUUCUGGUCAGAAGGAGGCAGCACGGGGAGGGGGGCUUAGGCGGGUGAAGGGAGGCCGUGCGGCACCGAAGGGAGAGGUCGUCUGCGGUGGUUACCGUGGUGCAGUGCGGACGGCACGACUGCAAGGGGACUCAGCGGCGGCGUGCAUGGCCGUGGGGGUAAGGUGAGCGGGUCGGGGCACAGUGGGAGAAGAGCGCCGGGGUCCAGGCCGUCUUCCUCCGUGGAGAUGGAUUGGUGGGUCGACGUCACCAACACGCGCUCGAGGUGAGGUCUGAGAAUUUCCUCUUCUCUUAAAUUGUUGAUUUGGGGACUCAAGUGCAUCGCCCGCCUCUGUUUGGACUGAUCUGUUUUCUGCGUGCCCCUCGACAAGUAUAUUCUGACCAUGUUGUCCGGCCACGCCUACACGUCGGAGGUCUUGGAGAAGAUUGGCCUCCUUCAGCGGCUUGUGACCCCAGGCCCCCAACACUGAUGAGGCUUCAUGGCGGUUACAGCAAACAGUGCAUCCGCUUCGACUGGUUAAUUUUCUGCGUGCCAAAGAGGGCCUCGACAAGACAACAAGUACCCCAUGACCAAGUUGUCCGGCAGUAGGUAUGAAUCAGGUGCAAAUUCCCCAUUCAUGCCUCAUGUUUUAUAUGGAGCAAAGAAAUGUUUUCUGCCUCUUUAUUUUCUGUAUAAAAAAAUCCCUGUUGUUAGGCUGCUGGCCUUUGUUAAUACUUGCUUACUUCUGAAUCCUGAUAUCUGAAUUCGAGGUGAUGGUUUUCCAUAUUACAUUGCUUCAAAAACUAUGUUAAUCCAUGACGUCAGCUGUUAAUCUUCCCUUUGUCAUGUUCUCUUUUAACUUUUAAGCGUUUUUUUUGAUUAAUCCAGUUCCAACUGUUAAUCUAUUCCCAUGGGAACAUAGCAACACAACAAGAAAGUAAUCAACAAAAACUCAAAUGUGUAAAGCUUCUUGGACUGAAAAUUUGCAAGUCCAGUAUUCUAACUUGACUGCAGAAGAAGUACAAAAGAAGACCUACAACUGUACCGAUGAAUGACUGCAAAAAGGGGUUGUGCAAGAUGUCAAGAUUAUUGUGAAGAUGAAAAACUUCUACCGAAGGCGAGAGCUUUAUAGUUUUGGGAUUCAUCUGGUGGCUUCCAUGAAACAUCAUCUUUUGUUGAGGACAUGUGAGUUAACUUCGCCAUGGACGGGGAGCUGAGAUAAUGGUACCAACGAAGUUCAUAGUUGGCGACUUAGAUCUAACAUACAAUAUUGUAGGUGCAAAAGAUUUCAUUAACAAAGGUGGCUUCAAGAAGUUUAUUCCGUUACUUGAUGGCGUGGUGAUAAUGAAAGAUGUCGGGCAUUUCAUAAAUGAAGAAAAGCCAGAGGAAAUUAGUGGGCUCAUAAUCAGCUUCAUAAAGAAAUUCAAGUAAACUGAAGUAUAUCGAGUACGUGAUGAAUAAGGUCAAAAUAUGCAUGGUUAUUGGAAAAUUUAUAUUUUGACCAUUGUAUUAUUGCGUUGAAAAAGUACAGACACAUUUAUGAAAGUAUAUUUUUACUGUCCA